rnacentral:rRNA from 1 species
AGCAGCCGCCGCGGUAAUACGUAGGGUGCGAGCGUUAAUCGGAAUUACUGGGCGUAAAGCGUGCGCAGGCGGUUCGUUAAGACAGAUGUGAAAUCCCCGGGCUUAACCUGGGAACUGCAUUCGUGACUGGCGAGCUAGAGUAUGGCAGAGGGGGGUAGAAUUCCACGUGUAGCAGUGAAAUGCGUAGAGAUGUGGAGGAAUACCGAUGGCGAAGGCAGCCCCCUGGGCCAAUACUGACGCUCAUGCACGAAAGCGUGGGGAGCAAACAGGAUUAGAUACCCCCGUAGUCCCUGUCUCUUAUAU